GCAGUCCAGAGCUCGGGCUGCUAGUGCGCUCUGGGGCGCACCCCGGGAGUAAGAGAGUUCACAAGAUCUCCUGAUGUGUACCGGCGCAACAGGAAUGGCACUCCUUCUUCCCUUUUCCUCUCCUCCCCGAAUUCCUGAACCCCAGCGCUCGCCCAGAGUGUGUAGAGACUCGCUCAGCACGAGUGGUAGCUGCGCGCAAACCCCAGCCUCUCGCCGGGCUCCACACAGUUCUUUGUUUGGAAAUACUCACUGCUCGGUAGAAGUGGAGUCUCGGAGCCUCUUCCCACCUCCGACACCCUCUGUCCCUCGGGUGCGCACUGCCCACUUUGCUUGCAGAGUUAGGAGCUCACCCUUUGCCCCACCCCACGACUCCCCAGCACUUGGAGAGUUGGGCCAGUCCACACGGGCUGUCCUCGGAGCUGCAGGCCGAAAUUUCUCUCGGUUCCUCCGCUCGGAGGGAGCAACGACCUUGGGCUGGACAGCCCUGUUCUUUGCAGGGUUAUCGGAGUGGGUCUUUUGACCUUAAUCGUCACCUUCCCAAUAAACGGAACAAAGAAGUUACGAAGGGCGGCGAAACGGAAGAGAGAAGCUAGGAAAGGAGGCGCCCUGCUCCGUUCCAUCCAGCCAGGUGUACUGGGGAAUGAAACUUCUCAACCACGGGCUGACCUGAUGGGAAGUGAUGGAUAAAGACCCCAGCUCUCUUGCUCCUUGAAUGGAAUCCCUUUGUGUUCUUCACUAGUGCUUCUCAAACUAUUGUUAGACCAGUUUUUUUUUAUUUCAGUCCAUCAUGGAUUGGUACUUUAAAACUGAGUUAUUAAAAAAAGAGUGUCAUAAAAGUACCGAAUUGUUAUAAAAGUUUCUAAAUACUUACUUUAACUUUCUAUGCAUUCUUUAUACUGAACCAGUCCCAAACAGUUCAAGGACAGGUGCUAUAUUACACACCACAGUGUGAGUAAUAUUGAGCACUUUUUCCUCUGGUUCCCUAAAGGGGAACAGUGAUCCCCUUUAUCACCACAGUGAUAACAGUAUUCAAACACAUCCUUCACUGGCCGCCUUUCCCUCCCCCAUUUCCCGACUGCUUCCUGGUAUUUCCUGGUCCCAGUGCCCUCUUCUGGAGGAACCUAAACUAAAACAAGUAAUUAAUGAGCCCAGAAAGUACUCUCUUGGUGUCUUCCAUGUGUGAAUUCCAAUUUUAUUCUUGUCUAGAUGUAAG